GGAUGAUUGGACGGACACUUGGACAGUCUCUGUGUCUCUGACUCACGAUCACACACUCAGCUCUUCUUUUCAUUCUUGUGUCUAUUUUCAGACGUGUGGAAGACACAGACAUGAUAACACAGAGAACACUGUGUGUGUGUGUGUGUGUGUGUGUGAUUUAUACAGAAGUAUACAGAAAGGAAAAUCUGAAUGUAGUGAAAACGUGAAGUGGAUCAGCCUCAGAGAGGGGGUGUGGCCUGUAGUCUGGUGGGUGGAGCAUGUACACUACAAGUGAUUUGCAUUCUAAUAUAGUUUUGUGUAUUUAAUUUGAUAAAGACUCGUGUUAUUUCAUGACGCAGUUUGUGUAGGAAGACGUGUUAAUGCUGUGUGUGUGUGUGUGUGUGUGUGUGUGUGUGUACUGUCACUUUAAGAUAAUCACAGUGAAAUAUUGAGGUUAUUCCAGGGCAUGUGUUUUUUCUUUUCUAACGUUUCUCUCAGCUCAUGUAUAAACCUGACGUGGCUGAGUGAACCAACGCCCUGAAACAUGAUAACACCAGCAAGUUCAGUUCACUGACCACCAUCUUGAGUGAAGGAGAUCAUCAGACAAGGAUCGAGCUGCAAAAACACUGGAGGCUUCAUCCUACCCAGAAUGCACAGCAGUCCAAUAAAGCUGCUAAUAAACAAUAUAAAAGGUUAAAUGACACCAUUAAAUUGAUGAUGUCACUGUGAUCAAUUACAACUAAAAACUCUCACCGCAGCUGCAGAGUGAAAUCUCACAAACACUGACCACACCAGAGUCCAGAAGAUAAUCAGGAGUCCCGGCCUCGUGUCCAGCUACACCCUAAAAAAGGCAUGAUGUCAUGGAUCAUUGUGGAUUGAAGGCCCCACUGCGUCCACUCCCCUCUCCUGACCGUCCAUGAGAGAUGAAACCCAGCUUUAAAGCGAUUAUUGUGCAUAACAGGAGUGUAAUAAACAUCAUCCUAAUGAGAUAAUGUGGACAAAGAGAUCAAUACACUCUGCUUACCGUGGAAUUAUGGGUAAUAAUGUUUUUUUUUCCAGAGAGAGAAAUCAGAUCUCACUGCUAAAGUGCUUCUCUAAAAUCAAUACACUGAAAUGCAGGAGGAGGAGGAGGAGGAGGAGGAGGAGGUCUUCAUCUGAGCUUCAGACUUUAAUGGGUUUUAUUCUGAGACACAAAACAGAAAGUGUUUUUCUUUCUCCACUGAAACGGCUUUAUGUUUAAAUUCACUUCAUUUAACUACAAACUGUAGAAAUAUAUUUAUUUACACUCAGAGCUCCUUCAGGAUAAACAGCAUAAACAUCGCUUAGUGUUUUUAUAUUAAUGAAUUUCUGUAGGAUUUUUUUUAAUUACACAAACUCUCUGAUAUAAACAACACAAACUCAUUACACUCUAAUGAACAAACACCCAGAUUUAAAUUCUGCUCUAACGACUGAGGAUAUUAAAGAAGCUAAUUAUUCUACAGCAAUACACACACACACACACAUACACACACACACACACACAUACACAUAUACAUACAUAUACACACACACACACACACAAUCAGUAGGCAACAAUCCUGAGUGACAGGCUCAAGGGGUGGAGCUUAAGCUACAUUUGGGUUUCAUAUACAGUUUUUAAAAUAAUCAUUUUUAAGGAUCAAUUAAAGAACCAUGUGAAGAACCCGUCUCUCUGACUGUGUGGAGCUGUAGGACAUCAUUGUAAAG